ensembl:lincRNA Gm29186 predicted gene 29186
GCAAACAACCCCAAGAAAAGAGGUAAAAGAUGGUGCCUUUACUCUGCUAGCUCCCAGAGGAAUGGGUAUUGAAGGCUGGACUGAAGCUGCUAUGAAAGCAUAGCUGGCAGAGCCCCAGACACCCAAGAUUUCACCACUGUCCCUGGUAUGUUGGCCUGCCUCACCUCUCCCCCUCUUCUGACUACGCCAACCUGUCUACCUUGUCUGAGAGACUUCCACCGUGUUUCUGGGAACUGCUGGCAACUGAGAAGUUCCUCCAGGCCUCAGAUCUCCCUCAGUGCAAUCCAGCUACAGAACGGACCUUUUUCCUGCUUAUGUCUUAAUGGACAGCCCACCCACCAGUCUGCCUGCUGGGAGAAGAGCCAGACACACUGGCACGUUCCCUUCAUUCCUCCUCCCCACCUUCCUCUCAAUGCCAACCCAGCUGAAGCUGGAGCCACCUAAACUUGGAAAGACCAAGAUCUUUCUAUGGUGAAGCAGCAAGGAUUCUGAGCUUUUGGAAUAUUCUAUAGUAUGUUUUUGCCAAGUCACAUCCCAUAUUUGUGGUCCCCAUUGGUCUGUUCUUUCCCUUGAAUUUCAGUUUCAUACAGUGUUCCCAUAGAUCAGAGUGACUGAGACAGACAUACAGACAUACAGACACACACACACGGGCAAACCUCAAGAGAUUCACAG